UCGAUGAUUUAAAAUAGAUUUCUCGGUCCAGUGCGUGAAAUGACACCCAAGACAGCCAAAAGCGCCUGAAGUGUUGCGUACGGAAUGCGAGAGUGGUUCGGUAUAAGGCCGACCCCUAAUAUUUACCCAUAUCGAGG
rfam:Polynucleobacter duraquae strain MWH-MoK4, complete genome.